rnacentral:rRNA from 1 species
CUUGGUCAUUUAGAGGAAGUAAAAGUCGUAACAAGGUUUCCGUAGGUGAACCUGCGGAAGGAUCAUUAACGAGUUUUGAGGUUGUGCUGGUUCUCACAAGUGCACGCUUCUUCAUUCAAUUCACACCCAUCGUGCACCAUUAGAGGCGUAGCAGUUUCCCCCCGUUUACGUGCCGCGAGGCUAUGGGGUUCUCUCGUCUAUUUCACACACACAAAAACGUAUAGAAUGUAAUCGCAGCAAUGCGGAAAAUAUAACUUUCAACAACGGAUCUCUUGGUUCUCGCAUCGAUGAAGAACGCAGCGAAAUGCGAUAAGUAAUGUGAAUUGCAGAAUUCAGUGAAUCAUCGAAUCUUUGAACGCACCUUGCGCCCCUUGGUAUUCCGAGGGGCAUGCCUGUUCGAGUGUCAUGAAACUCUCAAACCGCAUCUUUAUUGAUGUCUGGCUUGGAUUUGGACGUUGCUGGGUUAACGCUCGGCUCGUCUCAAAAGCAUUAGCUGACUCUCUUGAUCUUCAGUUUUUCGGUGUGAUAACUAUCUACGCCGGAGCCGCAAGGCGCUGUGGUCAACAUCCGGGUCGCUUCUAAUCGUCCUAGGACAAAAUUUCAUCGCAUUUGGCCUCGAAUCAGGUAGGACUACCCGCUGAACUUAAGCAUAUCAAUAAGCGGAGGAAAAGAAACUAACAAGGAUUCCCCUAGUAACGGCGAGUGAAGCGGGAAAAGCUCAAAUUUUGAAUCUGGCGGCCUCAGGUCGUCCGAGUUGUAAUCUAGAGAAGUGUUAUCUGUGCUGGACCGCAUGUAAGUCCCCUGGAACGGGGCGUCAUAGAGGGUGAGAAUCCCGUCUUUAAUGCGGACUACCAGUGCUCUACGAUGCGCUCUCAAAGAGUCGAGUUGUUUGGGAAUGCAGCUCAAAAAGGGUGGUAAAUUCCAUCUAAAGCUAAAUAUUGGCGAGAGACCGAUAGCGAACAAGUACCGUGAGGGAAAGAUGAAAAGCACUUUGGAAAGAGAGUCAAACAGUACGUGAAAUUGUUGAAAGGGAAACGAUUGAAGUCAGUCGCGUCUGCCGGGAUUCAGCCUUGCUUCUGCUCGGUGCAUUUCCUGGUUUGACGGGUCAGCAUCGAUUUCGACCGUCGGACAAGGGUCGGAGGAAUGUGGCAUCUUCGGGUGUGUUAUAGCCUCUGGUCGUACGCGUCGGUUGGGAUCGAGGAACUCAGCAUGCCUUUAUGGUCGGGGUUCGCCCACGUAACAUGCUUAGGAUGUUGGCAUAAUGGCUUUAAACGACCCGUCUUGAAACACGGACC